GACAUAGGGUGCAAACGUUGUUCGGAAUUACUGGGCGUAAAGCGCGUGUAGGCGGUUCGGAAAGUCGGAUGUGAAAGCCCUGGGCUUAACCCAGGAAGUGCACUCGAAACUCCCGAACUAGAGUCCUGGAGAGGAAGGCGGAAUUCUCGGUGUAGAGGUGAAAUUCGUAGAUAUCGAGAGGAACAUCGGUGGCGAAGGCGGCCUUCUGGACAGCGACUGACGCUGAGACGCGAAAGCGUGGGGAGCAAACAGG
rnacentral:rRNA from 1 species